rnacentral:rRNA from 1 species
ACCGCCCGUCACACCAUGAGAGUUGGAAAUACCCGAAGCCUGUGAGCUAACUUAAAGAGGCAGCAGUCGAAGGUAGAGCCAAUGAUUGGGGUGAAGUCGUAACAAGGUAUC